rnacentral:lncRNA from 1 species
GUGGUGGGGAGGGUGGUGGGGAGGGUGGUGGGGAGGGUGGUGGGGAGGGUGGUGGGGAGGGUGGCGGCGGUGAGGGUGGUGGCGGCGAGGUUGGCGGAGGCGGUAGAACUGAUGGCGGUGGGAGAUUAGUGAGUGGCGAUAGGCAGCUUGCACCAUAGAAUCCCGUGAGGCAGUCGGGCUUGUCACCCUCCACCUCUCCGCGAACCAACAGGUCAUUGGAUUUGCAGGCAAUACCCUCGGAGACUUGUACGACCCAGAAGCGCAGCAGAUCCGUAAUGUACGGCUGGAGCCGCUUGGCACUGGCCGCCGACAUGAAGGAACCGCAGACCGCGAUGGUCGGGAGCGUCAGCGGUCGGGCGGUGUAGGAAGUACACCUCUUCAGGAGGAAUAUCUCCAGAAUUGUAGCUCCUGCGGACCCGGAGACGUCGGUGAUGUUUCUGGAAAUUGUCCUGGCGAUUGAAUUGCAGAGAUUGUUGGGCCACUUAGGGUAGGAUCCGGAACUGGAAUUCAAGAGGAUGUUUACGCAGACAN